rnacentral:rRNA from 1 species
AGUGAACGCUGGCGGUAGGCCUAACACAUGCAAGUCGAACGGCAGCACAGUAAGAGCUUGCUCUUACGGGUGGCGAGUGGCGGACGGGUGAGGAAUACAUCGGAAUCUACUUUUUCGUGGGGGAUAACGUAGGGAAACUUACGCUAAUACCGCAUACGACCUACGGGUGAAAGCAGGGGAUCUUCGGACCUUGCGCGAUUGAAUGAGCCGAUGUCGGAUUAGCUAGUUGGCGGGGUAAAGGCCCACCAAGGCGACGAUCCGUAGCUGGUCUGAGAGGAUGAUCAGCCACACUGGAACUGAGACACGGUCCAGACUCCUACGGGAGGCAGCAGUGGGGAAUAUUGGACAAUGGGCGCAAGCCUGAUCCAGCCAUACCGCGUGGGUGAAGAAGGCCUUCGGGUUGUAAAGCCCUUUUGUUAGGAAAGAAAAGCAGCAGGUGAAUACCCCGCUGUUCUGACGGUACCCAAAGAAUAAGCACCGGCUAACUUCGUG